rnacentral:lncRNA from 1 species
GCUCUCCACCAGCAGAGGAAUUGCUAUUUGGGGCACUCCCAAGCCGACCUCCAACAGCACCAUAUGCAGCUGGAUUUCCAUAGGAUCCAUCAGCUCCACCAUAACCAUAACCUCCACUUGGAGAUUGACCUGUGGGUGCUGAAACAGGUGCACCACCACCAGGACCACCAGUUGCGGCAGCAGAAGCACCCCAAGGAGUAUUCCCAUAGCCCAUAGUACCAUAUCCAGAGGACGCCUGAGUGCCAUAUGCACUUCUUGGUGCACCUGGAGGCCCACUUCCAUAACCAGUAUUAGGGACAUUAGGGUUCCCAUAGGCCGCAGCAGCAGGGCCACCAUACCCAGG